rnacentral:rRNA from 1 species
GGCAACGACGUGCCAGCGGCGAGGGUCAUAGGGGGGGGGUAUGGGUUGUCCGGAGUUAUUGGGCUGAAAGGGCGUGUAGGGGGCUUUGGAAGUACGUGGUGAAAACUCGAGGGUCAACCUCGAGACGCCGGUGGAAACUGCAAAGCUAGAGUCCGGAAGAGGAGAGUGGAAUUCCUGGUGUAGCGGUGAAAUGCGCAGAUAUCAGGAAGAACACCCGUGGCGAAGGCGGCUCUCUGGGACGGUACUGACGCUGAGACGCGAAAGCGUGGGGAGCGAACAGGAUUAGAUACCCGAGUAGUC